rnacentral:misc_RNA from 1 species
GGGUUCGAUUAUAGCUCAGAUUGAACGCUGGCGGGAUGCUUUACAUGCAAAGUCGAACGGCAGCACGGACUUCGGUCUGGUGGCGAGUGGCGAACGGGUGAGAGUAAUGUAUCGGAACGUGCCUAGUAGCGGGGGAUAACUACGCGAAAGCGUAGCAGUACCGCAUACGCCCUUCGGGGAAAAGCGGGGAACCUUCGGGCCUCGCACUAUUAAACGGCCGAUAUCGGAUU